UUGGUGAAGCUGAGUUCCAUG
rnacentral:siRNA from 1 species